rnacentral:misc_RNA from 1 species
AAUCUUCAAAGCGCAUCUUUUGUUAAUUCAGCUGGUGUCGCUUUGGACUUGGGGGUUUGCAGAUUCACGUCUGCUCCUCCUAAAAGCAUUAGCUGGAUCUCGGUAGACCUGGUUCCACUCGGCGUGAUAAGUAUCACUCGCCGAGGACACCCGUAAAAAAGGUGGCCAAGACUACAGAUGAGCCGCUUCCAACCGUCUUUCGGGACAACACACUUAUG